GACGAACGCUGGCGGCGUGCUUAACACAUGCAAGUCGAACGAUGAACCAGGGCUUGCCCUGGGGAUUAGUGGCGAACGGGUGAGUAACACGUGGGCAACCUGCCCCAGACACCGGGAUAACCUCUCGAAAGAGUGGCUAAUACCGGAUACGACCACUUUGGGCAUCCAACGGUGGUGGAAAGGAUUCUGGUCUGGGAUGGGCCCGCGGCCUAUCAGCUUGUUGGUGGGGUAAUGGCCUACCAAGGCGACGACGGGUAGCCGGCCUGAGAGGGCGACCGGCCACACUGGGACUGAGACACGGCCCAGACUCCUACGGGAGGCAGCAGUGGGGAAUAUUGCGCAAUGGGCGAAAGCCUGACGCAGCGACGCCGCGUGAGGGACGAAGGUCUUCGGAUUGUAAACCUCUUUCAGCAGGGACGAAGCGAAAGUGACUGUACCUGCAGAAGAAGCACCGGCUAACUACGUGCCAGCCGCCGUAGUAAUAC
rnacentral:rRNA from 1 species